rnacentral:pre_miRNA from 1 species
AGCCUCUUGUAUCCGCGCUGAGAUUUCAUCAGCCGUUAAUGAGAUGAUGGGACUGGCUGAUGUAACUCCGCAAAUAAAUGAAGUG